rnacentral:rRNA from 1 species
GACGAACGCUGGCGGCGUGCUUAACACAUGCAAGUCGAACGGAAAGGCCCUGCUUUUGUGGGGUGCUCGAGUGGCGAACGGGUGAGUAACACGUGAGUAACCUGCCCUUGACUUUGGGAUAACUUCAGGGAACUGGGGCUAAUACCGGAUAGGAGCUCCUGCUGCAUGGUGGGGGUUGGAAAGUUUCGGCGGUUGGGGAUGGACUCGCGGCUUAUCAGCUUGUUGGUGGGGUAGUGGCUUACCAUGGCUUUGACGGGUAGCCGGCCUGAGAGGGUGACCGGCCACAUUGGGACUGAGAUACGGCCCAGACUCCUACGGGAGGCAGCAGUGGGGAAUAUUGCACAAUGGGCGGAAGCCUGAUGCAGCAACGCCGCGUGCGGGAUGACGGCCUUCGGGUUGUAAACCGCUUUCGCCUGUGACGAAGCGUGAGUGACGGUAAUGGGUAAAGAAGCACCGGCUAACUACGUG